rnacentral:rRNA from 1 species
AACACAUGCAAGUCGAGCGGUAGCACAGAGAAGCUUGCUCUCUGGGUGACGAGCGGCGGACGGGUGAGUAAUGUCUGGGAAACUGCCUGAUGGAGGGGGAUAACUACUGGAAACGGUAGCUAAUACCGCAUAACGUCGCAAGACCAAAGAGGGGGACCUUCGGGCCUCUUGCCAUCAGAUGUGCCCAGAUGGGAUUAGCUAGUAGGUGGGGUAAUGGCUCACCUAGGCGACGAUCCCUAGCUGGUCUGAGAGGAUGACCAGCCACACUGGAACUGAGACACGGUCCAGACUCNUACGGGAGGCAGCAGUGGGGAAUAUUGCACAAUGGGCGCAAGCCUGAUGCAGCCAUGCCGCGUGUGUAAAGAAGGCCUUCGGGUUGUAAAGCACUUUCAGCGAGGAGGAAGGUGGUGAGCUUAAUACGCUCAUCAAUUGACGUUACUCGCAGAAGAAGCACCGGCUAACUCCGUGCCAGCAGCCGCGGUAAUACGGAGGGUGCAAGCGUUAAUCGGAAUUACUGGGCGUAAAGCGCACGCAGGCGGUUUGUGAAGUCAGAUGUGAAAUCCCCGGGCUCAACCUGGGAACUGCAUUUGAAACUGGCAAGCUAGAGUCUCGUAAAGGGGGGUANAAUUCCAGGUGUAGCGGUGAAAUGCGUAGAGAUCUGGAGGAAUACCGGUGGCGA